GUGAGCUUGAGGAGGAGGAGGAGGAGGAGGCUGGCACGCAGAGAAGCCACUCGUCCUGUUUGGAAAUUUCAAGGAAGUUUGUCUGGGCUCCGGCCCAAAGAGCAGAGCGAGAGAAAGAGGGAGCGUGGCGGACAACAUGCCGCCUGCGUGCUGAACAGCGGUCAGAGAAGCAAGGAAGGGAUGCUCGUGAGGAAAGCGCGCGAAGCCGCCGCGGGGCAUUGAAGGGUGAGGACCUCAGAAAAGCCCCCGCGCCGCCUUGCCAGUCCCCCGAAGGCAGCACGUUUUGGCGGCGCGCUCCCUGGACCACGGCGGUGGUGCGGCGUCCCAACCACCCAAAGACCUCCGCUCGCUGCUGACUCUGGGUCUGGGUCGUGGCGGGGCGGGGCGGGGCGCCGCCCUAGGAACUCCCUUGCUUCCGAUGAGGGUCCCCCGACUCCGGCUGCCUCCUUUGGGCCUCCAGGGCCUACUCCCAUGAGGUCCAAGCGUCAGCCUCUCGCUGUUUGUUUCAUCAGACGCAGCUCGGACCGGCCGGCGGGGCUCUAGACGGGAGGAGAAUGAAAGAAGAGGACCUCCCUGGAGAAGACGACGAAAUGCCUUCCUUCAGAUACAGACCAAAUGGCCGGAUGAGGACCAACUGCAGCCAGUGCGAGAAAAACCUAACUCUACAGACUUCUGUGAAAGUGUUGUAUGUCUUUGUUGUCUUGCUGGUAAUGGCAGUGGUGGUGCUGUCAG